rnacentral:sRNA from 1 species
AAAAGGCCCGCCCACCUGGAAGGCCUGCGCCAGGCUGAGGCCGCGGUGCCGCAUGAGGUAGGCGGUGCAGACGGCGGCCGAGCGGCUGCGGCCGUUCUUGCAGUAGACUAGGCAGGCGCCGCCGGCGCGCACCGCGGCCUCCAUGGCGGCGCACGUGGGCUCCAGGUGCGCCAGCAGGUCCUCAGCCGGGUCGUCGAACACGGGCACGCGCAGCUCUGCCACGCCGGGAGCGCGCGGGCUGGGCUGCUUGUGGGAGACGUUGACGCACAGCGUGACUCCCGCUCGUGCCAGCUGCUCCUCCGCGCCCGCGGCUCGCGCGCUCCCGAGGAAUAGUGCGGGCGCGACGCGCACGAACGGCGGAGACUCACUGCCACAACGACAUUGUGGACCUUCUCCUGGACUGUGGGGCCGAUGUGAACAAGUGCUCAGACGAGGGCCUCACAGCACUCAGCAUGUGUUUCCUCCUCUACUACCCCGCCCAGUCAUUCAAGCCCAAUGUUGCUGAACGGACCGUACCUGAGCCCCAGGAAUCUCCAAAAUUCCCAGUUGUUCCAAUCCUUUCAUCAUCAUUUAUGGACACAAACCUGGAGUCUCUGUACUAUGAGGUGAACGUGCCUUCCCAGGGUAGCUAUGAGCUGAGGCCACCGCCAACACCACCGGCACUGCCACACAUCUCGGGCAGCCAGGAGGGCGGCCACUCCCAGGACACCGGGCAGUGUGGGGAGUCCAUGGACCACAGGAGCAGCUCUCUGAAGGGGGACUCCCCGUUGGUGAAGGGCAGCCUUGGCCAUGUGGAAAGUGGGCUCGAGGACGUGCUGGGAAACACAGACCGGGGCAGUCUGUGCAGUCUUGAGACGAACUUUGAGUCCAAUGUGUGUGUGUGCAACUUCUCCAUCGAGCUCUCGCAGGCCAUGCUGGAGAGAAGCGCCCAGUCCCACAGCUUGCUGAAGAUGGCCUCACCCUCACUGUGUACCAGCAGCUUCGACAAAGGGACCAUGCGGAGGAUGGCGCUGUCCAUGAUCGAGUAGGUCCUGGCACCAGCUGGUGGGGGUGGAGGGCCACCAUCAGGGCUGAAUCCUAUGCUCAGCAGACCCGCGUCUCUUCCCUGUGCCAGCGGGAGGUGUUGUGUCUGGAGAUGUGUGUCUGAAUGUGUGAGCAUCCCUGUGUCGGUGGCUCCACGCCAUGGCCUGCUUUGGCCUUUGGCACUGGCCUGAAGUGUCUCUGUGGGAGCCUCAGCAGGGGCCACUGUCAGGGGUCCUAUCCUAGCCAUGGUGCAUGUGAGUGACACCUGCCUGGGCAGCUCACACACCCCUGCUGCCCACCCUGUCUAUACCAGUGUGUCUCAAAAUGUGGUCCAUGCACCCCUGGGGGUCCAAGACCCUUUCAGAGAGUCUGUGGGGUCAAAAUGAUUCUCUUGAUAACCCUGAGACUCUCUUAGCCUUCUCCUUGUGUUGACGUUGGUGGAUGGUAUGAAGACAGGGUCGUGCAGACCGCCAGCCCCCAGCCUGCAGGGCAGCAGUGCCUGGCCUGCUUGGGGGCAUGGUAUUCCUUUACCACGGUGCGCACUUGCGGGGAUGCCUGUCUCACUGAAGAAUGCCUUUGACAAAGCAGAAAAGCAAUGACCAAUUGCAUUAAAUCUUGCUCCUUGCGUACACACCCCUCGAAUAUUCUGGGUCGGAAAACAUGGGAAGGACACUGAUGUGCGUCUGCCACAGACCAAGGCACACCGCUUCUCUGCAAGAAGCACUUACCCCAGGGCCGGAGUAGCAAAGAGAAUGCGGCACCUUCCCAACCUCCUGAUCCAUUUUUGAUCGGAAGAAUGACCACUGGUACGUGGCUGUUCAUUCUCCUGAACACAGCCUGCCGCUUUAAGGAAAACAUAUGACACUAUUUGUUGCUGGUGAAAUUUACGUUUUCAAGUGAAUAGCAGAAUUCUGGACACUUGGCCGCCACCACCAAGACCUUCAUAGCUUCCCUUAACUUUGAGACGUGGGUGUUCAGAGGUUUUUCACAUGAGAUGGCGUUAGCAGCGCAGUUUUCUGAUACUGCCUGAUGACAUGCCGACAGUGCUCAGAUCUCUUCUGUUGGUGAGCCAGCUUUCCCCACACGGCCAAGUUCUGAUGUGGAACCAUCGCGAGGUGGGUGAAGAUCCAUUGACGGUGAGAGGUGGGCCCGUGGGCUUCAGUGCAGCCAGGCGCAGAAGGCUGGUCCAUGAGUGUAUAGCUCCGCCAGGUAGCUAGCUCACCGCCCCCAGCCUGGGUUCAUGUAGUUCAAAUAGGAAGACCACGAUGAUCAGAAAGGCUGCUCAAAUACUCCUUCGUCCAGCUGCGUACCUGGGGGAGGCUGAGUCUCCACUCACUUCCACCAAGGCUGCGCAGAGCAGAUAGGGGAAUCCAGCGAAGGUGGAAAGCAGUGCCAUCCUUCUCCCCAACUGGUUUUGUUUUGUAAAAUAACUUUUUGUGACAGUGUUACUUACUAGUAACAUGCAGUGGGUUUGUUAUGGUUAACAAUUUGGUGAGCAUUAUUAAGAGGUGAAGCCAGCUGAGCUGCUGGGUUGGGUGGGCACUUGGAGAACUUUUGUGUCUAGCUAAAGGAUUGUAAAUGCAUCAAUCAGCACUCUGUAAAAUUGACCAAUCAGCGUUCUGUAAAAUUGACCAAUCAACGUUCUGUAAAAUGGACCAGUCAGCAGGAUGUGGGCGGGGCCAAAAAAGGGAAUAAAAGCUGGCCACCGCCAGCCCCCACACCAGCCUACAGCAGCAGCCUGCAGCAGCAACCUGCUUAGUUCCACUUCCACACUGUGGAAGCUUUGUUCUUUCACUCUUCUCAAUAAAUCUUGCUGCUGCUC